GGAAUCUUGCGCAAUGGGCGAAAGCCUGACGCAGCGAUGCCGCGUGAGCGAUGAAGGCCUUCGGGUUGUAAAGCUCUGUGGAUGGAGACGAAUAAGUACAGGUUAAUACCCUGUGUGAUGACGGUAUCCCUUUAGCCAGCACCGGCUACCUCUGUUCCCGCAGCCGCGGUAAUACAGAGGGUGCAAACGUUGUUCGGAAUUACUGGGCGUAAAGCGCGUGUAGGCGGCACUGUUGGUCGGAUGUGAAAUCCCGCGGCUCAACCGUGGAAGUGCAUUCGAUACCGCAGAGCUAGAGUAUCGGAGAGGAAGGUGGAAUGCUUGGUGUAGAGGUGAAAUUCGUAGAUAUCAAGCGGAACACCGGUGGCGAAGGCGGCCUUCUGGACGAUUACUGACGCUGAGACGCGAAAGCGUGGGUAGCAAA
rnacentral:rRNA from 1 species